GUUUUAGAUGUGUCGGUUGGUACCUACUUUGUAAGAAAGUAUUCAAAAAUUCAUAUAAGUAAAUUGUGUUGAUUGCUUUGCGAAUUCGUUAAAAAUGUCAGAAAUAUGUCGGAGAAUGGAAACAAAAGUAAAAACAAUGCCAAGCCACAACCAGCACGAAGAAAGCAGAAAGAUGAAGCCGACAACUUGUUUUUCCUUGGUUUUCAACAGAUAUUAGAAUCGCAACCUGAAAACAGUGAUUUUAAAAACAAAGUAUUCAACAUAACAAGUACAAAUAAUCAUGGAGAAUUACUCGUAAAGAUUAAAGAUUUAUUUCACCUAAAAGAAACCAAUAAAUAAACAACAGGAAAUACAAAUCUA